rnacentral:rRNA from 1 species
UCAUCCCGACUUACCAACCCGAUGCAAACUACGAAUACCGAAGAAUGUUAUCACGGGAGACACACGGCGGGUGCUAACGUCCGUCGUGAAGAGGGAAACAACCCAGACCGCCAGCUAAGGUCCCAAAGUCAUGGUUAAGUGGGAAACGAUGUGGGAAGGCACAGACAGCCAGGAUGUUGGCUUAGAAGCAGCCAUCAUUUAAAGAAAGCGUAAUAGCUCACUGGUCGAGUCGGCCUGCGCGGAAGAUGUAACGGGGCUAAACCAUGCACCGAAGCUGCGGCAGCGACACUAUGUGUUGUUGGGUAGGGGAGCG